rnacentral:snoRNA from 1 species
GGGUCAAUGAUGAGACCUUUAUAUUGUCUGAGGAGAGGUGAUGACUUAAAUAUCAUGCUCAACAGGAUUACACUGAUGCCC